UACGUAGGGUGCAAGCGUUGUCCGGAAUUAUUGGGCGUAAAGAGCGCGUAGGCGAAGAGUUAAGCGUGCCUUGAAAGCCCCCGGCUCAACCGGGGAAGGUGGGUGCGAACUGGCUUUCUUGAGGGCGAUAGAGGGGGGCGGAAUUCCUGGUGUAGCGGUGAAAUGCGUAGAUAUCUGGAGGAACACCGGUGGCGAAGGCGGCAUCCUGGACCGACACUGACGCUGAGGAGCGAAAGCCAGGGGAGCAAACGGG
rnacentral:rRNA from 1 species